GACGAACCGUGCAAACGUUGUUCGGAAUCAUUGGGCGUAAAGCGCACGUAGGUGCCUGUUAAGUCGGGUGUGAAAUCCCCUGGGCUCAACCCAGGAAGUGCACUCGAAACUGGCAGGCUUGAGUACUGAAGAGGGUCGCGGAAUUCCCGGUGUAGAGGUGAAAUUCGUAGAUAUCGGGAGGAACACCAGUGGCGAAGGCGGCGACCUGGGCAGAUACUGACACUGAGGUGCGAAAGCGUGGGGAGCAAACAGG
rnacentral:rRNA from 1 species